AACGAACGCUGGCGGCAUGCCUAAUACAUGCAAGUCGAACGAUCACUUCGGUGGUAGUGGCGCACGGGUGCGUAACGCGUGGGAACCUGCCCUUGGGUUCGGAAUAACGUCGGGAAACUGACGCUAAUACCGGAUGAUGACGUAAGUCCAAAGAUUUAUCGCCCAGGGAUGAGCUCGCGUAGGAUUAGCUAGUUGGUGGGGUAAAGGCCUACCAAGGCGACGAUCCUUAGCUGGUCUGAGAGGAUGAUCAGCCACACUGGGACUGAGACACGGCCCAGACUCCUACGGGAGGCAGCAGUAGGGAAUAUUGGACAAUGGGGGCAACCCUGAUCCAGCAAUGCCGCGUGGGUGAUGAAGGCCUUAGGGUUGUAAAGCUCUUUUACCCGGGAUGAUAAUGACAGUACCGGGAGAAUAAGCCCCGGCUAACUCCGUGCCAGCCGCCGCGGUAA
rnacentral:rRNA from 1 species